UGCUGCCUGGCUGUCGUCUUCCCAAAGUUGAGACCGUUGGGUUAAGUCCCGCAACGAGCGCAACCCUUAUCCUUGUUUGCCAGCGAGUAAUGGCGGGAACUCUAGGGAGACUGCCGGUGAUAAACCGGAGGAAGGUGGGGACAACGUCAAGUCCUCAUGGCCUUUACGAGUAGGGCUACCCACGUGCUA
rnacentral:rRNA from 1 species